rnacentral:rRNA from 1 species
UACGGAGGGUGCUAGCGUUGUUCGGAAUUACUGGGCGNAAAGAGUACGUAGGCGGUUUACCAAGUUGGGAGUGAAAUCCCGGGGCUCAACCUCGGAAUUGCUCUCAAAACUGGUAAACUAGAGUAUGGUAGGGGAUAGUGGAAUUCCUAGUGUAGGGGUGAAAUCCGUAGAUAUUAGGAGGAACACCAGAGGCGAAGGCGACUAUCUGGGCCAUUACUGACGCUAAGGUACGAAAGCGUGGGGAGCGAACAGG